GAAUUCAUUGAAGAGUUGCUGUCUCCCCCUUUUGGGGGUUUAGUGGCAUUUGUGAAGGAGGCUGAGGCUUUGAUUGAGCGUGGACAGGCUGAGCGACUUCGAGGGGAAGAAGCCCGGGUAACUCAGCUGAUCCGUGGCUUUGGUAGUUCCUGGAAAUCAUCAGUGGAAUCUCUGAGUCAGGAUGUAAUGCGGAGUUUCACCAACUUCAGAAAUGGCACCAGUAUCAUUCAGGGAGCGCUGACCCAGCUGAUCCAGCUCUAUCAUCGCUUCCACCGGGUGCUGUCCCAGCCGCAGCUCCGAGCCCUCCCUGCCCGGGCUGAGCUCAUCAACAUUCACCACCUUAUGGUGGAGCUCAAGAAGCAUAAGCCCAACUUCUGAUGUGCCAGAAACCGCCCUGAGAUCUGCCGGUCAUCUCCAUGGACUUCUGCACCCCAUUCCAUACCCUUCUUCACCUGGGGUACCCCUUCCAGUUUUCCCCUUGCUUCCCAGGCCCUUGACAUGGCUUACCUGCCUUCACUCCCAGCACCUUGCCCAACAGGAUAAGCUGGAUCCCCUUGGCCUUCUGAAUAUCCCAGUGUCUUCAGGUUUCCCAAGACCACUUCCCUGUGGGCUUCCAAAAUGGCCUUUAUCAUUUCUCCAGUCUGUCACCCUCCUUUCCUGCUCCCAUACACCCAAGGCUUGUUUCUUCCCCUGUAAAAACCACUGCCUCAAUCUCUGGUUCACUCAACUAGUCACCAUGUCCUGAGGCAUGAAGCCUCCUCAGCUCUUGGAAUUGCUGGCAAGGGGUGACUGCCUCUGAGUCAUUGUGUUUUUCAAAGUGAUUUCUUUUCUGUAGCUUUUUGACCUAAGAUCUCAGCAAUUUGAACACUAACCUCUCCCCUCCUGGCUCAAGAAUUACUCCGAAGUCAGUCUGCAGAAAAUAAAUAUUUAGUAUGACAUGACACUUA
rnacentral:misc_RNA from 1 species